rnacentral:ncRNA from 1 species
GUCACAACACACCGGCAUGGUUCCCCGAUCAGACGCAAAGCGUCGGGGAUCAAAUGGGAAUGCGGGACGGGCCAACCCAAUUCGGGGUCCAAAACCGCAGCCGCCCCCGCGACUGUAAGCGGUGAGCGUCCGUCAUUAAGCCACUGGGAAACUGGGAAGGCGACGGUACGUGUUGACCCGCAAGCCAGGAGACCAGCCGUGCAGAAAUGCAAACC